CUAAAUUUGGAAGAGGACUAGAGCACAGCAUUUUAAAAAAUGUGAAUGGUUGUACUUCAUGAACAUGGAGACUCUGGAGAAAGAAGUAUUUUCCCCCUCUGCUUCCUCCACCUGAGUCAUUGAACAUCAGAUCCUUCUUUUGUAGCAUUUCAGUUUUCAAUUGGUGCUAUGUUGGCUGACUGUGAAAGUCAAAAGGAUGGCUGUUUAUCCCUCCUGCCGUCACGUUCCAUGUUUCUAGCUUGUGGGCUUUUGCAAAGCAAGGUUAUCAGCAAUCUGCUGCAGAGUCCUUCCCACUCAGUAAAUCAAAGCCUUGCUCUUCUCCGGUUUGUUUCCAUGGACAAAUGAUUCAAUCCUCCUUCACUUCCCAGCACGAAAGCCUGUCAUCCCCAAACCGCCGCCAGCCCAGCUGACCCACUGAGCCCUGCACUGGUGCAACCAUCCUGAUCGUUCCAGAUCCAGCCUGUCCCUCACAGGCAUCCUGUCCUCUCCUCAUAGAGACCCUGCAGCCCAUAUCUGCCAGCAAAACCCCGUGUAUGAGAAGUGGAGAAGGAGGGGCUCAUUUUACAAUGACAUUAAGAAUUCAUUCCCUUAAAUGAGACUCUGAUCAUCAGCAUCAUUUGUGCUUUCAGGAUGCUUGUACUGCAAGUCAUUUUUUAAAAUCCUGAACAAGGAAAUCUUUGCCAUGCAAUAAAGUUCCAUACAAAUACAGCUAAUGUCAAUAAAGCUAAAAAGA